CAGACUCAGAGUAUUCAGGUCGUGUUCAGUAUCACUGUGAUAAGAACGACUGCACUCUGACAAUCACAGACCUGAGAGAGAGCGACUCAGCUGAGUACAAGUUCAGGUUCAUAACAAACCAACCAGGAGGGAGCUUUUUUGGUUCACCUGGAAUCACUUUGACUGUCACAGAUCUCCAGGUGCAGGUGAGCAGAUCAACAUUCAAUCCUUCCCGGGCAGAGCUGAAGUGUCACAGCAGCUGUCAUCUACCUGAUGGUUCUUUCUACAUCUGGAAGAAGAAUGGACAGGACAUUUUGGGACAAACAUCUAAUUCUUAUUCAGGCAGCUUUGAUUCUACAGACAGCUAUUCCUGUGCUGUGAAAGGACAUGAGAAGUUCCCCUCUCCUUCACUGUCGGGUCCCUUGGGAGUGAUGUACUCUUCUACUCAGAUCUGUGCCUUCAAAGGAUCAACAGUGAAGAUAAACUGCACCUACAGAU